rnacentral:rRNA from 1 species
CACAUAGGGGGCAAGCGUUGUCCGGAAUUAUUGGGCGUAAAGAGCUCGUAGGCGGCUCGGUAAGUCGGGUGUCAAAUCCUCAGGCUCAACCUGGGGCUCCACCCGAUACUGCUGUGGCUAGAGUCCGGUAGGGGAGCGUGGAAUUCCUGGUGUAGCGGUGAAAUGCGCAGAUAUCAGGAGGAACACCGGUGGCGAAGGCGGGUCUCUGGGCCGAUACUGACGCUGAGGAGCGAAAGCGUGGGGAGCGAACAGG